GGUUUCUGUUCAUUUUUCUGCCUGCCCACAUCUCCGUGAUUGAGCAAGCGAUUACAAAUUCACAUCUGCCCUGAAAAGCCUGUGUCCUCACCACCAUUCUGCUCGCCAGGCCUAGGGAGAGAGCACUGGCCCUACUCUGGGCAGGAAGUCAACAGGGGAGUGGAGAGUAAUGCUAAGAAAACAUCCCCCGUCUUUCAGGAGGGUGAACUGCUUUCCCCUGAAAUCGCCACAUCCUCAGUUUCUCAAAAUAAGGGAAAGGAGUCCGCUUGAGCUACUGACAAGAUGAAAUAACUGUUAAGGGGCCUAACGAGAGAAAGAGAAAAGGACUAGGAGGAGAAAAGUGUCUUUCGUGUUAAGGAAGACAGGACGAGGCACACAAGGACCGGCCACGAGCUUGCUAGGAGUUAAUGUAAGCAAUCAGUGAGUGCAUGGUUCGCUACCCAGCAAGAACCAAAUGCUGCUGCUGCUGCUACUGCUGCUGAAGUCGGACUUUAAGAACUUAGUAACCUAAAGAGGAGUUUGAAGAGGUAUCAUGAAACGCCGUUCUACGGAAACAUCCACCAUCCGGACCACUGAGGGAACCCAGAGGCAACGACCUUGGUCUGCUCCCUCCAUGUAAGAGCUGAUCUGGCUUCCCUAUGGUCACUGAAGGAGUUCCAUCUACCUGUUGGGCCACCUCAGGCUUGGGCCCGAGUUCUAGUAGGCGCCGAGCAAAGGUGGCAGCUGUCUUGAAGUUCUUGAGCUUGAAGAACAGAUUGAGGGCUGUACGCAGCACCAGGAUCAUGUGCACAGGCUGCAGGUUUGAGUGGGUGAAAUAGGCUGCCAUCUGGUGGACAGAAAAAGGAACACAUGCCAGGUUGAUGCUACACCUGGUAGAAGUCAUUUCUAAGCUGCUUACACAUGCAUAAAAAACACAACACAAAACAGGAUGAUGGGCUAUAAAGCUGAGAGGUCUUCUACCCCCUAGGUAUGGAGGACUGGUGAGAUGAGGAAGUAGGAUGAAGAAAUGUAUCCUCCCCUCAUAGAAAUGAAGGGCCUAAAUUUCUCUUCGUCCCCACUCAGAUCUGGGUUUGAAAUUAAAGAAUUCAAACCUAGUGAAGGGUGAAGGGAAGGAUGUCUCUGUUGUGCUCAGGGUCCUAUAGAUCUUACCUCACAGAUGCGCUUCUGCUGUUCUAGAGUCUCUUUGGGCAGCUUCUUCCUUUCUGUCUCCAUGGACAAACCCACAAUGUA